rnacentral:snRNA from 1 species
ACCAUAGCUUCUCUUCAGAUCAUAUAAAUCUUUCUCCUUUUACUAUAGAUUUCCAUGGAGAGUGAGCUGUUCUGCCAGGCUUAGUGUAUGUCACUUCCUCUUACCUUGGGAGG